rnacentral:lncRNA from 1 species
AUUCCAGAUUGCUUGUGCAGGUGUUUUCGUUCAAAGGAGGUGGAGAGCAGCUCCCCAGCCCUUAAGUGUGAGCAGUGCACACACAGUGACUUCCUUCCACAGAGUACGGUGUAGAAGAGUGUGGUGGAGAGAGUCUCCGAACGGUGGAGAAAGCUGGCAAACACUACCUUUAUCAAUUGCGAAGGUCAAUGCCAAGGAGUCCGGCUAUGCGAGCCAGGAGGUGGAUGUGGAGAAGUGGGGGAAGCUAUGCCAGUGUCCUGAUGAGAGGUCGCUGUGGAGAUAAAGAUCAAGACAUUUGGUAGGCAAAGCUGGCUGGACUUGAAAGGUUGGAUACAGGGGCAGAGGGAAGGGAAACGCCAAGGAUGCCGCCUGGUGUCUGGUCUGCACCGCAGGAGCAGAUGGUGAGAAGCCGAGGGGUGUGCAACAGAUCAUGG